AUUGAACGCUGGCGGCAUGCCUUACACAUGCAAGUCGAACGGUAACGCGGGCAACCUGGCGACGAGUGGCGAACGGGUGAGUAAUAUAUCGGAACGUGCCCAGUAGUGGGGGAUAGCCCGGCGAAAGCCGGAUUAAUACCGCAUACGACCUACGGGUGAAAGGCGGGGGAUCGCAAGACCUCGCGCUAUUGGAGCGGCCGAUAUCAGAUUAGGUAGUUGGUGGGGUAAAGGCCUACAAGCCUACGAUCUGUAGCUGGUCUGAGAGGACGACCAGCCACACUGGGACUGAGACACGGCCCAGACUCCUACGGGAGGCAGCAGUGGGGAAUUUUGGACAAUGGGCGCAAGCCUGAUCCAGCCAUGCCGCGUGCGGGAAGAAGGCC
rnacentral:rRNA from 1 species